GUAGGUAGGUGGUAGGUGGGUGGGUAAGUGAGUGGGUGGGUAGGUCGGUAGGUUGGUAGGUAGGUGGUAGGUGGGUGGGUAAGUGAGUGGGUGGGUAGGUCGGUAGGUUGGUAGGUAGGUGGUAGGUGGGUGGGUAAGUGAGUGGGUGGGUAGGUCGGUAGGUUGGUAGGUAGGUGGUAGGUAGGCGGGUAAGUGAGUGGGUGGGUAAGUGAGUGGGUGGGUAGGUUGGUCGGUAGUGUGCUUACAUGACUUUCUUUACUGUGUUUCUUGUCCCUCAGCCUCGCCUGUUACAACACCUUUUGGCCAAGCACACAAGGUAACUAAUGCAACAUUGUUUUGUAUAUAUCUUUUAAUCCAUCUGUAUUGUUAACCGAUUUAUUCUUCAUCUGUGUUUUGGCAACGUGGACGGCCCGCUGAGGGUGUGUGUCUGGGGUGUGUCCGCACUGACGGCCACACUCCCUGCAUCAGGUAUACUCGUGGGAGGUCGUUGAAGGCAAACACGUGCAUGGUCUGUGUCUGUAAUGUUUAUAGCGGCAGGCUACACACUAUAGGUCUGGGGUGUGUCCGCGCUGACGGCCACACUCCCUGCAUCAGGUAUACUCGUGGUAGGUCGCUGAAGGCAAAUACGUGCUUGGUCUGUGUCAGUAAUGUUUAUAGCGGCAGGCUACACACUAGUCCUUGCGGCGCGCACACUCGCUGGCGUAGAGGUUGUUGAUCUGGUUGGCGUCGGUCUGCCUCAUCUCGAA